GACGAACGCUGGCGGCGUGCUUAACACAUGCAAGUCGAACGGAAAGGCCCUGCUUUUGUGGGGUGCUCGAGUGGCGAACGGGUGAGUAACACGUGAGUAACCUGCCCUUGACUUUGGGAUAACUUCAGGAAACUGGGGCUAAUACCGGAUAGGAGCUCCUGCUGCAUGGUGGGGGUUGGAAAGUUUCGGCGGUUGGGGAUGGACUCGCGGCUUAUCAGCUUGUUGGUGGGGUAGUGGCUUACCAAGGCUUUGACGGGUAGCCGGCCUGAGAGGGUGACCGGCCACAUUGGGACUGAGAUACGGCCCAGACUCCUACGGGAGGCAGCAGUGGGGAAUAUUGCACAAUGGGCGGAAGCCUGAUGCAGCAACGCCGCGUACGGGAUGACGGCCUUCGGGUGGUAAACCGCUUUCGCCUGUGACGAAGCGUGAGUGACGGUAAUGGGUAAAGAAGCACCGGCUAACUACGU
rnacentral:rRNA from 1 species